AAAACCAAUGAAUCAAUAAGUACAAACACUGUUGAUUUCUUCCCGUGGAGCCGACAUGCAAACUAUUUAGGUUCAGUAAAUCCCAGCUGUCAGUCAGCCUGGUGAAGGCAGGUUAGUCUGUGGACAGAGACGCUCAACGCCUGUCGGAGGCGUUUAAGGAGGAGCGAAAGCGCACCGCUGUAAAGGAAAGAGGUUUGCUGGAUUUAUAACACAAGACAAAACGAGAGCAUCACUGCGAAAUGACAAUAUUAAACAAUAAUCGUUUUAUCUCCAUUAUCUUGUUUUUAUAAUCGUUGGAAGCCAAAA